GUGCUUGCUUCCACAGCACAUACACUAAAGUUGGAACCAUACAGAGAUUAGCAUGGCCCUUGUGCAAGGAUGACAUGCAAAUUUGUGAAGUAUUCCAUACUUUU
ensembl:snRNA U6 U6 spliceosomal RNA